rnacentral:rRNA from 1 species
UACGUAGGGUGCGAGCGUUAAUCGGAAUUACUGGGCGUCAAGCGUGCGCAGGCGGUUUUGUAAGCCAGAUGUGAAAUCCCCGGGCUUAACCUGGGAAUGGCAUUUGGGACUGCAAGGCUCGAGUGCGGCAGAGGAGACUGGAAUUCCUGGUGUAGCAGUGAAAUGCGUAGAUAUCAGGAGGAACACCGAUGGCGAAGGCAGGUCUCUGGGCUGACACUGACGCUCAUGCACGAAAGCGUGGGGAGCAAACAGG